CCCUUAGAUGUUCUGGGCCGCACGCGCGCUACACUGAUGCAUUCAACGAGUCCAACCUUGACCGAGAGGUCCGGGUAAUCUUUGAAACUGCAUCGUGAUGGGGCUAGAUUAUUGCAAUUAUUAAUCUUCAACGAGGAAUGCCUAGUAAGCGUGAUUCAUCAAAUCGCGUUGAUUACGUCCCUGCCCUUUGUACACACCGCCCGUCGCUCCUACCGAUUGAGUGUGUUGGUGAGGAGUUUGGAUUGGUCUCGGAAGGUGGUUCGCCACCGUCCGUAGCUGAGAAGUUCUCCAAACCGCCCCACUUAGAGGAAGGAGAAGUCGUAACA
rnacentral:rRNA from 1 species